UAAAUAAUGUAUUUGAAAGAAAAGAAGAAAGAAAAUGGCACCAGUGAAGUGUUUGCUCUGUGGUAAGGAGGCUCAGAUCCAGGGAGAAGACGUGAUUUGCCUACAGUUGCACAACUAGCUGGAAUUAGAAACCAGCUUGUGGUUUAUAUCUGAAGUUGUUAAACAUGACUCUUUGGAUGCUAACUGUCAUCACUUUGACUGGC
rnacentral:lncRNA from 1 species